rnacentral:rRNA from 1 species
CUACGGGGUGCAGCAGUGGGGAAUAUUGGACAAUGGGGGAAACCCUGAUCCAGCAAUGCCGCGUGUGUGAAGAAGGCCUGCGGGUUGUAAAGCACUUUCGGUUGGGAGGACUGCUUCUAGCACUAAUAUUGUUGGAAGUUGACGUUACCUUCAGAAGAAGCACCGGCUAACUCCGUGCCAGCAGCCGCGGUAAUACGGAGGGUCAAGCGUUAAUCGGAAUUACUGGGCGUAAAGCGCGCGUAGGCGGCUAGAUCAGUCGGGUGUGAAAGCCCCGGGCUUAACCUGGGAACUGCAUCCGAUACUGUCUAGCUUGAGUACAGGAGAGGAGAGUGGAAUUCCACAUGUAGCGGUGAAAUGCGUAGAUAUGCGGAGGAACACCAAUGGCGAAGGCAGCUCUCUGGCCUGAUACUGACGCUGAGGUGCGAAAGCGUGGGGAGCAAACAGGAUUAGAUACCCUAGUAGUC